GAUGAACGCUGGCGGCGUGCCUAAUACAUGCAAGUCGAGCGAACGGACGAGAAUCUUGCUUCUCUGAUGUUAGCGGCGGACGGGUGAGUAACACGUGGAUAACCUACCUAUAAGACUGGGAUAACUUCGGGAAACCUGAGCUCAUACCGGAUAAUAUUUUGAACCGCAUGGUUCAACAGUAAAAGACGGUCUUGCUGUCACUUAUAGAUGGAUCCGCGCUGCAUUAGCUAGUUGGUAAGGUAACGGCUUACCAAGGCAACGAUGCAUAGCCGACCUGAGAGGGUGAUCGGCCACACUGGAACUGAGACACGGUCCAGACUCCUACGGGAGGCAGCAGUAGGGAAUCUUCCGCAAUGGGCGAAAGCCUGACGGAGCAACGCCGCGUGAGUGAUGAAGGUCUUCGGAUCGUAAAACUCUGUUAGUAGGGAAGAACAGAUGUGUAAGUAACUGUGCACAUCUUGACGGUACCUAAACAGAAAGCAACGGCUAACUACGUG
rnacentral:rRNA from 1 species